rnacentral:lncRNA from 1 species
CGGAAACAAAGAACCCCAUCUUGAUCCCUGACAGCAGCAUUGUUCAGAGCCAGUUCACUCACCCCAGUUUCCACAGCAGAAAGAUGUUUCCGGCGAACAGCUACACACCCACCACCCAACAGUUCUGCAAUGAAUCACUCUACAUUAGCUCACUUUGACAGAUGUGUCUGAGGUAGAUCCGACAGCUGGCCAGUGAAGCCUCUGUGAAGGGAAGCCCAUCUGUGACUUUACUCUCCUAAGCACCUCCAAACCAUUCUCAAACAACGUCGUCU